UAUGUAGAGAUGUUGACUGUGUUAUGGAUAGCAUGUGGUAGCUUAUGUUAGCGAUUCCUUGCAGAACGGCACGUUAAGAGAAACCUUGUGACUGACAUUUGGUUGGCGUCGCCCCUCUACAGGCGAAAGCUUGAGUGAGCUGGAAUUGAGCUUGGGUAUCCGUUGCGAAUAUUUUGGGGGUUGGCUGUGUGUGUACCAUAUAAACUGAACAAGUUGUCCCUCGCACAUUUGCACGAUUACCUGACCCACGGAGUCACGAGAUCGGAUGUGUACGGUACGUGGGUUAAAACCUCGUCCCUGUUAGCCAGUGGAAGGUGUCACUAACACAUUCUAUUUAGAGUUGAUGACGAUCUUGCGGCUUUUGGCGACUUACGUGAACUCCGCCUACAGAUUGUUGCACGAGCCGCAGCCGUCCCGACAUUCAUCUGUUGUUGCUUAUCAGGGGUGGGGAGAUUAUUCAUGAUUGGCCGUGCCUCUACCAACGAGUAGUUUUUACGUUUUGGAGCUACCUGAGAGUUAUCCGGAGGCGCUGUUGCUUUACCAUAUAUUAUUGUUAAUUUUCUUUUGUUUCAUUUGAAUUGUUGGUUACGUUUGCUGUUUAUUUUAUUUUAUUAUUUUUGUUUUGUUUUUAUUCUUACCUUACCUGGUUGGCAUUACUGUUUUUAUGGUUUUGCUUUCUUAUGGUUAAAUUCUGUAGUGGCAUAUUCCAUUUAAUUUGAUUCUAUCAUAUUGUUUCCUUCAUAUUUGUAUUUUUUUGUAUUUUGUGAAACUGCAUUGUGGUGGGCAAGUAGAGCGCCUACUGCUAUAUCUCACUGUAGUGCUCCGUACCCGUAGGGUGCCUGUACCCUCGAAGUUUGUGCCAAACCUGUCUCUAUUUUAUCCCUUCACAGGGGCUGAGGGCCGAAGGCGGGCCGAGCUUGGUGUGUUGGUGUUCUCCACUAGUGCUGUGGUGUGUGUGUGCGCGUGAGCGUGUGUACCCCGGUGUAACCAGUGUGAGGUGUGGUGUGACCUAGUGUGUCCCUAAACCCCGCUGUCGGAUCUCAGCUCCUGUUCUUUCUUUGGCCUAUUUUGAGGGGCUUGUUGUCUCAGGUUGCUUCGGGUGGUACUCUUCCAUCAUAGUCUUUUCUUUGUUUAUAUUUUAUAUUUCUUUAUUUCCAAGUGAUUGU